rnacentral:snoRNA from 1 species
UGAUGACUGUUCCCCCUUUUGCCUUCAGACCUGGCACUAGGAUUUGAGGUCAUCAUAAAUUAAAAUUUGAUUUUCUUCACUCAGAGAAUAUUAGGAUAAUGGGAUUAUCUGUCUAUUCUCUGAACUUUGCGGAAUCAAACAAUU